GCCUGGGUGGCUCAGUCGGUUAAGCGGCUGACUUCAGCUCAGGUCAUGAUCUCGCGGUCCGUGGGUUCGAGCCCCGCGUCGGGCU
rnacentral:tRNA from 1 species